rnacentral:rRNA from 1 species
UACCUGAAACCAUGUGCCUACAAACCGUUGGAGCCUCCUUGUGGGGUGACAGCGUGCCUUUUGAAGAAUGAGCCUGCGAGUUAGUGAUACGUGGCGAGGUUAACCCGUGUGGGGAAGCCGUAGCGAAAGCGAGUCUGAAUAGGGCGAUUGAGUCGCGUGUCCUAGACCCGAAGCGGAGUGAUCUACCCAUGGCCAGGUUGAAGCGCGUGUAAGAACGCGUGGAGGACCGAACCCACUUCAGUUGAAAAUGGAGGGGAUGAGUUGUGGGUAGGGGU